rnacentral:rRNA from 1 species
AUUGAACGCUGGCGGCAGGCCUAACACAUGCAAGUCGAACGAGUGGCGGACGGGUGAGUAAUGUCUGGGCAACUGCCUGAUGGAGGGGGAUAACUACUGGAAACGGUAGCUAAUCACGCAUACCAUCAGAUGUGCCCAGAUGGGGUUGGCUAGUUGGUGGGGUAACGGCUCACCAAUGCGACGAUCCCUAGCUGGUCUGAGAGGAUGACCAGCCACACUGAAACUGAGCAACGGUCCAGACUCCUACGUGAGGCAGCAGUGGGGAAUAUUGCACAAUGGGCGCAAGCCUGAUGCAGCCAUGCCGCGUGUAUGAAGAAGGCCUUCGGGUUGUAAUGUACUUUCAGCGGGGAGGCGUUACCCGCAGAAGAAGCACCAGCUAACUCCGUGCCAGCAGCCGCGGUAAUUC